rnacentral:rRNA from 1 species
GGGUUGUGAGGUUAAGCGACUAAGCGUACACGGUGGAUGCCCUGGCAGUCAGAGGCGAUGAAGGACGUGCUAAUCUGCGAUAAGCGCCGGUAAGGUGAUAUGAACCGUUAUAACCGGCGAUUUCCGAAUGGGGAAACCCAGUGUGACUCGUCACACUAUCAUUAACUGAAUCCAUAGGUUAAUGAGGCGAACCGGGGGAACUGAAACAUCUAAGUACCCCGAGGAAAAGAAAUCAACCGAGAUUCCCCCAGUAGCGGCGAGCGAACGGGGAGGAGCCCAGAGCCUGAAUCAGCAUGUGUGUUAGUGGAAGCGUCUGGAAAGGCGCGCGAUACAGGGUGACAGCCCCGUACACAAAAGCGCAUGUGCUGUGAGCUCGAUGAGUAGGGCGGGACACGUGGUAUCCUGUCUGAAUAUGGGGGGACCAUCCUCCAAGGCUAAAUACUCCUGACUGACCGAUAGUGAACCAGUACCGUGAGGGAAAGGCGAAAAGAACCCCGGCGAGGGGAGUGAAAAAGAACCUGAAACCGUGUACGUACAAGCAGUGGGAGCACCCUUUUGGGUGUGACUGCGUACCUUUUGUAUAAUGGGUCAGCGACUUAUAUUCUGUAGCAAGGUUAACCGCAUAGGGGAGCCGGAGGGAAACCGAGUCUUAAUUGGGCGUUAAGUUGCAGGGUAUAGACCCGAAACCCGGUGAUCUAGCCAUGGGCAGGUUGAAGGUUGGGUAACACUAACUGGAGGACCGAACCGAC